rnacentral:lncRNA from 1 species
UUUUUCAUAGAUCGGUAGGAAUGUUUCUGUUUUUUAUUUGUAUUAGGUUUUUCUUACUAAAUAUCUAAUUGGUGAGAUAUUGAAUAUUGUGAAGUCAUAUUUGGAUUUAAUUUAGUUUUUGUUUUGUUGAAAUUUACCUACAUAGCAACAGUAUGGUCAGAUCUACAUCCUUCUUUUGCCGAGUUCUCCAAAAUGUGUUAUUUUGUUCUGGUUAAAAUUACCAUUGUUGUUGUUGUUUAGAUGUGCUUAUUAUCAAUUGUGUUUUAUUCUAUUAAUAAUACCCAGGAAAUUGGAAGCAACUUGUUAGUUUUGUGUUGGGUGAUGGAACUUUUGUUACUUGCUCAAAUGUAUCAUAACUGUACGGUUUUUGAUAUUGUUUUUCCUAGUUUACAUAUCAAGGUCUUUUUAUUCUAAAUUUGUAGUUUACUAAUUAAUUAUAAGGGCUAUUCAAUAUCUAGUAAAGCUUAAUUGAAUGGAAGCCCAUGUAUCAAGGAUGCCCAACAAUUAGUUUAAUCAAUAUAACACCUUAGAGUAACUUCUUUAAUUUGGUGCCUAUGAUGGUUAUUUAUUCGUGACUUUCCUGAUUUGUAUAUAGUUUUAUUGCAGAGACUUUGGUUAAAGAGAAUUCAAUGUUCUCUCCAUCACAGGGAGUUUUAGUAUCCUCCACCUCUAACUUUAGUAGUUGGGGUUAACAUCAAAAAGAAUUUUUAAAUGCAAUUUCUGCUAUAAAAGUUUUACACAUUGAUGGAUGAUAUUUAUUGUAUAAUUUUGGAUAUCCAAGUUGAAUGCAAUUUGAUUUUGAUUGGAAGUCAACAUAAGUACGAUUGGAGGUAUUGCAUUGCUAUUUGUUCUUUGGCCUUUGCCUCUCUAAGGAGAUUGCAUCAUUAAAAUAGCACCUGUCCGUUGGUGUUUUCUGCUUCAAUUUAUAGAAGUAGUUGGAUAAGAGGGGUUGGUCCGAUGGUAAGCAAUCCCCACUUCCAACGGAGAGGUAAGUUCGAGUCUCCCCAAGAGUAAGGUGGUAAGUUCUUGGAGGGAAGGAUGCCGGGGGUCUAUUUGGAAACAACCCUAGGGUAGAAGUAAGGUCUGCGUACAUACUAUCCUCCCCAGACCCCACUAUGUGGGAUUAUACUAGGUUGUUGUUGUUUAUAGAAGUAGUUGGUGUUUUUCUGCUUCAAUUUAUAGAAGUAUUUUGUGCAUAUGCUCCAUAGUCUGGACUAAUUUGAUACUUGAUAAUGCAGUUUGAGCUGUGUAUUGGUGUACAGUCUUUCUCCUAAAUAUAUUUAAAAUAGGUUANNNNCCAUUAAGUUGGCGAAGGUUCUUCAGAAGAAGAGGGUUAACAUAGCAUGUGUCCAAGAGACUAGGUGGAAAGGGUCGAAGGCGAGAAAUGU